AAUUAUGUUUUUAUUUUAUUUUUAAAACUAUGCCUAAAAUUAAAGAAAAACUAUAAACAAAAAUCAUACCCAAAAAGAUGACACCUCAAAAGUCUGCGUACACCUUAAGUUUUCUACGUACAACGCAGGAAUUUGUUAGUUGUUAGUAUCUUGUGGGAUACCCUUUUUGUUUUAACACCUCAGCCAAACGGCGAGGCAUUGAGUCAACCAGCUUUUUAGUGUCCUCUGCAGUGAUU